GUCUAUGGCCAUGCUAUCCUGAACAAGCCCGAUCCCGGCUGAUCUCAGAAGCUAAGCAGGGUCAGGCCUGGUUAGUAUUUGGAUAUUUGGAUAGGAGAUUACCUAGGAAGACCAGGUGCUGUAGGCA
ensembl:rRNA 5S_rRNA 5S ribosomal RNA